rnacentral:rRNA from 1 species
AUUGAACGCUGGCGGCAGGCCUAACACAUGCAAGUCGAACGCGUGGCGCACUGGUGAGUUUUGUCUUUGAAACUGCCCGAUGGAGGGGGAUAACUACUGGAAACGGUAUCUAAUACCCCAUACCAUCAGAUGUGCCCAGAUGGGUUUAGCUCGUAGGUGGGGGAACGGCUCACCUAGGCGCCGAUCCCUAGCUGGUCUGAGAGGAUGACCAGCCACACUGGAACUGAGACACGGUCCAGACUCCUACGGGAGGCAGCAGUGGGGAAUAUUGCACAAUGGGCGCAAGCCUGAUGCAGCCAUGCCGCGUGUAUGAAGAAGGCCUUCGGGUUGUAAAGUACUUUCAGCGGGGAGGCGUUACCCGAAGAAGAAGCACCGGCUAACUCCGUGCCAGCCGCCGCGGUAAUAC